GUGGGGAAUCUUAGACAAUGGGCGCAAGCCUGAUCUAGCCAUGCCGCGUGAUCGAUGAAGGCCUUAGGGUUGUAAAGAUCUUUCAGUGGGGAAGAUGAUGACUGUACCCACAGAAGAAGCCCCGGCUAACUCCGUGCCAGCAGCCGCGGUAAUACGGAGGGGGCUAGCGUUGUUCGGAAUUACUGGGCGUAAAGCGCACGUAGGCGGAACAGAAAGUCAGAGGUGAAAUCCCAGGGCUCAACCUUGGAACUGCCUUUGAAACUCCUGUUCUUGAGUUCGAGAGAGGUGAGUGGAAUUCCGAGUGUAGAGGUGAAAUUCGUAGAUAUUCGGAGGAACACCAGUGGCGAAGGCGGCUCACUGGCUCGAUACUGACGCUGAGGUGCGAAAGCGUGGGGAGCAAACAGGAUUAGAAACCCCUGUAGUCC
rnacentral:rRNA from 1 species